rnacentral:rRNA from 1 species
AUUGAACGCUGGCGGCAGGCUUAACACAUGCAAGUCGAGCGGGGUGAUGGUGCUUGCACUAUCACUUAGCGGCGGACGGGUGAGUAAUGCUUAGGAAUCUGCCUAUUAGUGGGGGACAACAUCUCGAAAGGGAUGCUAAUACCGCAUACGUCCUACGGGAGAAAGCGGGGGAUCACUUGUGACCUUGCGCUAAUAGAUGAGCCUAAGUCGGAUUAGCUAGUUGGUGGGGUAAAGGCCUACCAAGGCGACGAUCUGUAGCGGGUCUGAGAGGAUGAUCCGCCACGCUGGGACUGAGACACGGCCCAGACUCCUACGGGAGGCAGCAGUGGGGAAUAUUGGACAAUGGGGGGAACCCUGAUCCAGCCAUGCCGCGUGUGUGAAGAAGGCCUUAUGGUUGUAAAGCACUUUAAGCGAGGAGGAGGCUCUUUUGGUUAAUACCCAAGAUGAGUGGACGUUACUCGCAGAAUAAGCACCGGCUAACUCUGUGCCAGCCGCCGCGGUAA